AGGAUGAACGCUGGCGGCGUGCCUAACACAUGCAAGUCGAACGUCCUGUCUCGCAAGAGGCAGGGAGUGGCGGACGGGUGAGUACCACGUGGGUCAUCUACCGUGAGGUGAGGAAUACCGGCGAGAAAUCGCCGACAAGACCGCAUAGGCUCGAUGCAAGUCGAGCAAAGCUCUUUCGAGAGAGGGAGCGCCACACGAGGAGCCUGCGCCCGAUUAGCUAGCUGGUGGAGUAAUGGUUCACCAGGGCGACGAUCGGUAGCUGGUCUGAGAGGACGAUCAGCCACACUGGGAUUGAGAACGGCCCAGACUCCUACGGGGGGCAGCAGUGAGGAAUUUCGUCAAUGGGGGCAACCCUGAACGAGCAACGCCGCGUGCAGGAAGAAGGUUUUCGGAUCGUAAACUGCUUUUCUCGGGGAAGAGAACGGACGGUACCCGAGGAAUCAGCCCCGGCUAACUACGCGCCAGCAGCGCGGU
rnacentral:rRNA from 1 species